rnacentral:rRNA from 1 species
GAUAAACGCUGGCGGCGUGCCUAAUGCAUGCAAGUCGAACGGAUGUUGUCUUCGGACAGCAUUAGUGGCAAACGGGUAGAGUAACACGUGGGGAGUCUGCCCAGUAGUGGGGAACGAACUCCGAGAAAUCGGAGCUAAUACCGCAUACGGUAGGUGUUGAGGAACACCAUACUAAAGACCGACGUAAGAAGGCGCUAUUGGAGGAACCUGCGGCUGAUUAGCUAGUUGGUGGGGUAAAGGCCUACCAAGGCGAUGAUCAGUAGCUGGUCUGAGAGGAUGGACAGCCACACUGGGACUGAGAUACGGCCCAGACUCCUACGGGAGGCAGCAGCAAGGAAUUUUCGUCAAUGGGGGAAACCCUGAACGAGCAACGCCGCGUGGGCGAAGAAGUCUUUCGGGA